GACGAACGCUGGCGGCGUGCUUAACACAUGCAAGUCGAACGAAGUGGCGAACGGGUGAGUAACGCGUAAUAAACCUGCCCUAGAGGGGGACAACAGUUGGAAACGACUGCUAAUACCGCAUAAUGAAGGAGGGGAUUGCGUCGGGUUAGCUAGUUGGUGGGGGAACGGCCCACCAAGGCGAUGAACAGUAGCCGGUCUGGUAGGAGGAACGGCCACAUUGGGACUGAGACACCGCCCAGACUCCUACUGGAGGCAGCAGUGGGGAAUCUUUCGCAAUGGACGAAAGUCUGACGAAGCAACGCCGCGUGAGUGAUGACGGGCUUCGGGGUGUAAAGCUCUGUUAAUCGGGACGCGGUACCGGAAUAGAAAGCCACGGCUAACUACGUGCCAGCAGCCGCGGUAAUAC
rnacentral:rRNA from 1 species